rnacentral:rRNA from 1 species
GACAUAGGUGACGAACGUUAUCCGGAAUUAUUGGGCGUAAAGGAUGCGUAGAUGGUUCGAUAAGUUACUGGUGGGAAAUCGAGGCCCAACCUCGUGGAAGCUGGUAAUACUGUCGAGCUUGAGUGCAGGAGAGGUUAACGGAACUUUAUGUGGAGCGGUAAAAUGCGUAGAUAUAUGAAAGAACACCGAUAUAGCGAAGGCAGUUAACUAUUCUGCUACUGACAUUGAGGCAUGAAAGCGUGGGGAGCAAAACGG